CUAUGGUUCUAUUUUAAAUAAAGGGGCAUGGAAAAUAAGUGCUGCACGGAGUCAGAAUCCUACCCAGCAAUGUUUAAUUUCCUCAACACAGUGACACCUGCCUUUUCCUUCUAGCUCGUGUCAUUUUUCAGCACCAUGCUAUUUUCACACUUUCCUCAUAAAAGAUACUUGGUUCCGAAAGUCCUUUCGCAAGGUCACCAGACAUCAUGCCACUGUUUUAGAUAGGGCUUUCAUUUCAGCAUGGGGUGGUGAUUAGUUGAUGUUGAGAAUGACACCAAAGAAAAAAAUUUAUUGAAUAGAUAAAUAUUUAAGAAUUUCCUAAAGGUCUCUGAAACCACGUGAGAUCCUUCCCACUUACGACAGAGUCAGCAUCUUACACUUCUGUGCUCCACUGAUCACCUCCACAGAAACUCUGCAGCGUUGCACUCCAUUAGCUUGUACCUGAAACAGCCCAUGCUAUUAGCAGUAACAUUGGCGAGUCAUUCAGCAUGCAGAACGGGAUGAAAUCAUUCUACUUCAAAUGGGUUUCGUUGACCUUUCUGGGAGUGAAACUAAAUCCUGGAUUCUGGCCUGGAACUCCCACAGGCUCAUGCUGGUGCCACAAUGGGCAACUCCGUCCAUGCUCUGCUCUGCAUCCCUGCUCUCUACCUGAAAUGCUGCAUCAACUGCACACCUUUACUGGGGGUAUGGAUAACUCCGCCACACUGAGUGCUCUCACAGCUGCCGAGGGGACACUGCUACUAGACCAUCACUAGUUUGAGCUAGAAAUACAAUACUGCUUGACCACUAUGCUGUUAGAAGUGUACCUCAGUGCAUCAGAGUUUUCCUACAGACCUGAAUGAACUCCACAAUCCUGUUUUCCUCCUUCCAAACAUGGCUGUGAAGAUAAGUGUAUCAAGGGUUGGGAAGCAGUGAUCUGUAAGUACCCAAGACAGCUAGAAACUCACUGUGCCAGAGCACUCACAGGUCAGAAAAGAGUGACAUCAGUGCCCAGAACUGAAUAUAAUGAAAGCAGUUCUCAGCUUUGUAUUGAAAUAAAUAGAGAGA
rnacentral:lncRNA from 7 species